UUAGCAUGAAGGGUUGUUGAAUUUUGUCAAAGGCUUUUUCUGCAUCUACUGAGAUAAUCAUGUGGUGCAUAUCAGUUUAUAGUAUAUGAUGUGGUGUGUUAUUCAAUAAAUAUUUAAAUGUGAAGGAACUAGUAAUUCAGAAACACCUAUGACAUGUUCCUAGAACUGCCUCACACAGCAAUUUAAUAUUUUCUCUUUUUGCUGCAACAAAUUAAGUGUAUCAAUUCACACUGAGCAAUAGGGUCACUAUUAUAUCAGUCUGUGCAUGUUUCUGAAAAAAAUUAUGACUCAAAUU
rnacentral:lncRNA from 1 species